rnacentral:rRNA from 1 species
UAGAGUUUGAUCAUGGCUCAAGAUGAACGCUAGCGGGAGGCUUAACACAUGCAAGUCGAGGGGCAGCAUGGAGUAGCAAUACUCUGAUGGCGACCGGCAGACGGGUGAGUAACGCGUAUGUAACCUACCCUGUACUGGGGGAUAACCCGGAGAAAUUCGGACUAAUACCCCAUGGAAAUAUUGAGAGGCAUCUUGAAAUAUUUAAAGUUCCGGCGGUACGGGAUGGGCAUGCGUAACAUUAGCUAGUUGGUAAGGUAACGGCUUACCAAGGCUUUGAUGUUUAGGGGUCCUGAGAGGGUGGUCCCCCACACUGGUACUGAGACACGGACCAGACUCCUACGGGAGGCAGCAGUGAGGAAUAUUGGUCAAUGGGCGCAAGCCUGAACCAGCCAUCCCGCGUGCAGGAAGACGGCCCUAUGGGUUGUAAACUGCUUUUCCAGGGGGAGAAAUUCCCGUACGUGUACGGGAUUGACGGUACCCUGGGAAUAAGCAUCGGCUAACUCCGUGCCAGCAGCCGCGGUAAUACGGAGGAUGCGAGCGUUAUCCGGAUUCAUUGGGUUUAAAGGGUGCGUAGGCGGACUAUUAAGUCAGUGGUGAAAUCCUGCAGCUUAACUGCAGAACUGCCAUUGAUACUGAUAGCCUUGAGUUUGGUUAAGGUAGGCGGAAUGUGUAAUGUAGCGGUGAAAUGCUUAGAUAUUACACAGAACACCAAUUGCGUAGGCAGCUUACUGAGCCGACACUGACGCUGAGGCACGAAAGCGUGGGGAUCGAACAGGAUUAGAUACCCUGGUAGUCCACGCCGUAAACGAUGAUUACUCGCUGUUGGCGAUACACAGUCAGCGGCUAAGCAAAAGCAAUAAGUAAUCCACCUGGGGAGUACGGCCGCAAGGUUGAACUCAAGGAAUUGACGGGGCCGCACAAGCGGAGGAACAUGUGGUUUAUUCGAUGAUACGCGAGGAACCUUACCUGGGCUUAAAUGUAGAGUGCAUUUUUUUAGAAGAUAAGAAAAUUCCCUUCGGGGCUUUCUGCAAAGGUGCUGCAUGGUCUGUC